AUCAGAAGCAAAACAAGAAAGGAAAGGCUGGUCAAGGGACAAGGAGGAGCUGGAGAGAGAGAUCCGACACAAGGAAACCAGUCUGGACACCAUGGCCUGAGAUCAGACAUACAUGCUGAAUGGAGUGGACGAGGAUGCUAGUGGUGGAAACGAGAUACAUGCACAGGCAUUUCUCAACACAUUGUUUCAUAAGGAGAAGAGAAUGUAGCAGUUUAGACAGUCUUUCUAGAUGGGAAAUGAAGCCAUGCGUGUGGCUGAGCUUGCCUCAGAAGAAGGUACAGACUGAGCAGAGAGCCA